UACGGAGGGUGCGAGCGUUGUCCGGAAUCAUUGGGCGUAAAGGGCGCGUAGGUGGCCCGGUCAGUCUUUGGUGAAAGCGCGGGCUCAACCCUGCGUCGGCCAGGAUACUGCCGCGGCUCGAGCACUGUAGAGGCAGGCGGAAUUCCGGGUGUAGCGGUGGAAUGCGUAGAGAUCCGGAAGAACGACCGGUGGCGAAGGCGGCCUG
rnacentral:rRNA from 1 species